AACGAACGCUGGCGGCAUGCCUAACACAUGCAAGUCGAACGAAGGCUUCGGCCUUAGUGGCGCACGGGUGCGUAACGUGUGGGAAUCUGCCCUUGGGUUCGGAAUCACAGUUAGAAAUGACUGCUAAUACCGGAUGAUGUCGUGAGACCAAAGAUUUAGCGCCCAAGGAUGAGCCCGCGUAGGAUUAGCUAGUUGGUGGGGUAAAGGCCCACCAAGGCGACGAUCCUUAGCUGGUCUGAGAGGAUGAUCAGCCACACUGGGACUGAGACACGGCCCAGACUCCUACGGGAGGCAGCAGUGGGGAAUAUUGGACAAUGGGCGAAAGCCUGAUCCAGCAAUGCCGCGUGAGUGAUGAAGGCCUUAGGGUCGUAAAGCCCUUUUACCAGGGAUGAUAAUGACAGUACCGGUAGAAUAAGCUCCGGCUAACUUCUUGCCAGCAGCCGCCGUAACAC
rnacentral:rRNA from 1 species